CGCCCGCCCGCACGACCUCCUCCUUCUCCCGCACGACCUCCUUAUCCUCCCGCAGCCGCGCCCUUCACCGCCUCCUCGCGCCGCCGGAGCCACGGGAAGCGGCCGCGGGUCGCCGGGAGCCUCCCCAGCCGCGGGAGCCCGCCCCCGCCGACCCCGCCCCCGCCACCGGAGCCGCCCCGCCGCGCCCUUCGCCGCCCCUCAUCCUCGGCGGCGAGAGGCACGCAGGAGCCGCCGCCAGGGACGUGGACGUGUGCGGGCCAACCACCGGCGUACGAGGCCGCGCCUGAGCCUGCGGCGCGGCGGCGCGGAGCCCUCCGCCGCCAGUUCCCUGCCGGUUCGAGAUCGCCACCGGUCCCCUCCGUGCCGUCAUCGUCCUUCCUGCUACCAGCUCCGUCCUCCGCCCUAUCUCCGCGGCAAUGUUCUGCUCCAUCCAUCGGCGCAAACAACCUAUAGAGUCAAGGAGUAGAAUACCAAAAUACGAGCUGCAAAAGUGACUCAAAUUCCUCUUCCCUCACAAGUAACUACACUGAGGUGGAGGCUGGCCUGCAGCUUGUGUGCGCGGAGGCUCGUGUGCGCGGAGGAGAAGCACACUUCACCGACAAGUUGUUCCCGCUAUCCUCGCUGCCACUGCCAGUGACGGAACUUGGUGUGGACAACAUGCUGGAAAGAGAGUGUUCAUCCCUAUGAUCCCUUUGGCGCCCUCGGAGGACAUUUCACUUCCUUUCAAGUUGAAGAGGAAACAGUUCCCUGGAUCGAUCCUGGAGAGCCCCUUCCGUAACCAAGUCCCCUCCCCACUCGGAGUCCUCCGCCACUGACGCACGGGUAAGCGCCAGAGAUGCGGUGCAUCCACGCGGUUCAACGAGCUGCCGCUGUCGUAGAUAACCAAGACGUACACGGAGAUAAGCAAGAUUCAGUGUGCUGCACUGCCCCCACGCGCUCUGAGGGUGCGAUGUCCCCGACGUGUCCAAGACAAGGUCCAGGAAGACCCUCGCCUUCGUUAUCCUGGUAAAGUUUUGCUGUUAUUUUACUCCCCCAAUUCCACUUACAGGGGAACAAAGAGUAAGAGUAAUCCUGGGGAUAAUGGUAUUUUCAUUUGUGCUUCUAAUUAAUAGUAUUACUGUCAGCUCCAUCCUUAGAGCAAUUGACGAAAAUGACUAUAUCACCUAGAUUGAUAGACAAUAAUUAUGCACAAACAUGGCAAUGUCCACAAAACAACUGCCGCUGCAUUGCUAAGAUGCAGCUUGAUUUGGCCUCAAUAUUUUGAUUUUUGAGUAUUACUUUCUUCCACUCCUCUGCAAAAUACUCCUAUGUUCUAGCUUCUCAAGGCUCUACUCUCAACCAGUCCAGUCCAGGUGUUUUUUUUUUGAUAAAUAUUUAUUUUGUUUCCUUUAUCUAUCGGUUUCAAUUCUGUAUCCGCCGUUCUCAGGAUAACUGUGUGAUGUUGCCAUGGGAUCCAAAAUAACUAUUUUUUACUGAAGCUACAGACUUAAGCAGUUUCUACCAUGUGUACUGUAUUUUGAGUUAAACCUGAACGGCUUUCGUCGCAUGAUACACCACAGUGCUUUCAUGUUUUUAGGAGGGUAGUUCUUCCCUGUGUUAUGAAUAUGAUUACUAUGGUGUCACUGUACAUUUCUUAUAUGGUUAGUUCUUAAUUUUCUUCAUUAUUCCAAACAUGUGUACCCACUAGGAUUUCAUUUCUUAUUAUUUACCUUCAAGCAGUAUAUAUUACUGUUGUUUGUUGUCCACCUUGAUCCUUCGCUGAUAUUUUUCCUAGGAAACUUCACAUGGAAUUAGGAUCAGUUAAUAAGAUUCUGAUUUGUUGGUGUUGAUUUGCAGUAAGAGGAAAUGUACUAUUGUUCUCAUCAAUUUCUUUCAUACCAUGUGUAUGGUUAGUUCUUAAUAUUCUUCAUUAUUCAAAAUACUUGUACCCACUAGGAUUCAUUUAUUAUUUUUUACCGUCAAGCACUAUAUAUAUUACUGUUGUUUGUUGUAUACCUUGAUCCUUCGCUGAUGUUUUUCCUAGGCAACUUCACAUGGAAUUAGGAUCACUUAAUAAGAUUCUGGUAUAUUCUGCAAAUUUUCUUGCUUUAUGCAUGAACCUAUCAUCAAGAAUUGGAUCUCUUAUAUGUGCAUGUGCUGCUGUAUAUUGGUUGGGUGUUGAUUUGCAGUAAGAGGAAAUGUACUAUUGUUCUCAUCAAUUUCUUUCAUAUCAUCUUAUAAAAAUAUGUUGUUUAAAUAUGAAGAGGUGGAUAAGUUUUUGGCUUUAGUUACUGAAUAUCCAGAUCCGGCUUGCUUCUCAGCUAUGGCCUACAUUUAGAAGAAAUAUGUUGUUUAAAUAUGAAGAGGUGGAUAAGUUUCUGGCUUUAGUUACUGAAUAUCCGGAUCCUGCUUGCUUCUCAGCCAUGGCUUACAUUUAGAGAAGACAUGUUCAUAUGUAAGAGAUUUAAGGUCAAUGAUCUCCCCCUAUUGUAAUGCUCAUCAUCUUAAUUCAGACAUUGCUAUAUAUAUGCACCAUGGUUCAUGACUGUACUUUUUUCUUACGUGUUUACGAAGUUUGUCAGUAUUAUUAUGCAGAGAUAACCUGUCAUGGUUCUACGUUGAUGUGUUCUUUCAUUUGUCAAUUUCUUUUGCUUUGAAGCAAUGUUGAUUGCCUCAAAGAAUGGUUCCGCGUGGCUUACACGCUUAUACCUACUUGAAUGUUAAAUUUUAUUAGCAAAUUCAUCGAGAACAAUGCCAACAUUUUACGUCUUGCUACAUGAAGCUAUGUACUGCAGGGUACAACAGUGUCAACAUUUCCGGUGCUCAUUGACAAUAAGAUUGAAGAUGUAUUUUCUUGAUUGGAAAUAUUAUACCUCAAAUUUAAUUCAAUCGUGGAUACAAUGACAACUUUAUGCCCUGAAUAACAAGUGAUUAUGUG